UACAUAGGGGGCGAGCGUUAUCCGGAUUUAUUGGGCGUAAAGGGUGCGUAGGCGGUAGAUUAAGUCUAAGGUUAAAGUGCAGGGCUCAACCCUGUGAUGCCUUAGAAACUGGUUUACUUGAGUUUGGUAGAGGUAAGUGGAACUCCAUGUGUAGCGGUAAAAUGCGUAAAUAUAUGGAAGAACACCAGUGGCGAAGGCGGCUUACUGGGCCACAACUGACGCUGAGGCACGAAAGCGUGGGGAGC
rnacentral:rRNA from 1 species